GGGCCCGCACAAGCGGUGGAGUAUGUGGUUUAAUUCGAUGCAACGCGAAGAACCUUACCAGGGUUUGACAUCCUGCGAAUCUCUUGGAAACAGGAGAGUGCCUUCGGGAACGCAGUGACAGGUGCUGCAUGGUUGUCGUCAGCUCGUGCCGUGAGGUGUCAGGUUAAGUCCUAUAACGAGCGCAACCCCUAUCGUUAGUUGCCAGCGGGUCAUGCCGGGAACUCUAGCGAAACUGCCGGUGCAAACCGAGAGGAAGGUGGGGAUGACGUCAAGUCAUCAUGCCCCUUACAUCCUGGGCUACACACGUACUACAAUGCUACGGACAAAGGGCUGCAAGUUCGCGAGGACAAGCAAAUCCCAUAAACCGUGGCUCAGUUCAGAUCGUAGGCUGCAACUCGCCUACGUGAAGGCGGAAUCGCUAGUAAUCGC
rnacentral:rRNA from 1 species